AGGCGGGGAGAGGAGUGGAGCAUGCGUAGUACGAGGCAGGCGCGCUGAUGACAUAAGAGUCAGACUCCGGAGCCCCCGGCAGCAGUCGUGUGGCGGAGGCGUGGGCAUGGCGUGUCGCGGGCGCCGGCCGGAGCACGGCGGACCCCCAGAGCUGUUUUACGACCAGAAUGAAGCCCAGAAAUACAUGCGCAACUCUAGGAUGAUUGAUGUGCAGACCAAGAUGACUGGGCGAGCAUUGGAGCUCCUUGACCUGCCUGAUGAGAAGCCCUGUUUCCUGUUGGAUAUUGGCUGUGGUACUGGCCUGAGUGGAGAUUAUCUCUCUGAGGAGGGGCACUAUUGGGUGGGCAUCGACAUCAGCCUUGCCAUGCUGGAUGCAGCUUUGGACCGAGAAGCACAAGGAGACCUGCUUCUGGGGGACAUGGGCCAGGGCAUUCCCUUCAAACCGGGCUCCUUUGAUGGUUGUAUCAGCAUUUCUGCUGUGCAGUGGCUCUGUAAUGCUAACAAGAAGUCAGACAUUCCUGCCAAGCGCCUGUACUGCUUUUUUUCUUCUCUUUAUUCUGUGCUGGUCCGUGGAGCCCGGGCUGUUCUGCAGCUAUACCCUGAGAACUCGGAGCAGUUGGAGCUCAUUACGACGCAGGCCAUCAGGGCUGGUUUCACCGGUGGCGUGGUGGUGGACUACCCCAACAGUGCCAAAGCAAAGAAAUUCUACCUCUGUUUGUUUUCUGGGCCAUCAACCUUUCUGCCAAAGGGCCUACAUGAAAUUAAGGAAGAAGAGGAGGCAAAGGAAUCCACAUUCACUAACAGGAGCUGUGUCUCCGGCACAGGGUCCAGAACAGGAUUGCACGGAGAGGGUUGGUGAGGAAGAGCCGGGAGUGGGUGCUGGAGAAGAAGGAGCGCCGUAGACGCCAGGGCAAGGAAGUCAGACCUGAUACUCAGUACACUGGCCGCAAGCGCAAGCCCUACUUCUAAGCAGUUCGCUGCAUUGAAUGGUGGGACAGCUCGGGAUCCACUUGCUUCUGGAAAGUUUUAUAUAUUGAAGUAUCUACUUCAUCGUCUGACAAAAUGGGGUUUAGAAAAGUUCUAAAAGCCCUGACCAAUGUAAGUCAGUGGUUAGAGUGUCAGCCUGCGCACUAAGGGUCAUAGUUCGCUCCCCACCCCUUGUGGGGGGGGGGGUACAGGAGGAAGCCAAUUGAUGUGUCUCUCUCACAUCAACGUUUCUCCCUCCCUCCUACUCUCUCUGAAGAAGAAGAGAAAAAAAUAUCCUCAGGUGAGGAUAACAACUGCAAAAAAGUUCUAAUGCUAUUUUCUUUAAAGUUCUAAUGCAUCUUAUUUUAUUGUAAAAUAAACUACUUUCUAUGGAA